AAGUAAGGAAGAACGACUAAGACCGCCACAUCGUGUGGCGACGUCGGCACUAGUACGUCCUGUACG
rnacentral:sRNA from 1 species